UACAUGUGGGGCAAGCGUUGUUCGGAAUUACUGGGCAUAAAGGGUGCGUAGGUGGCUUGUUAAGUCAGGGGUGAAAGUUUUCGGCCCAACCGGAAAAUGGCCUUUGAUACUGGCGAGCUCGAGUGCGUGAGGGGUAACCGGAACGAGCAGUGUAGCGGUGAAAUGCGUAGAUAUCAAGAGGAACACCUGAGGUGAAGACGGGUUGCUGGGCCGACACUGACGCUGAUAGCGCGAAAGCCAGGGGAGCAAACGGG
rnacentral:rRNA from 1 species